UCGUUUGGCCCACCUCAACCAUGUCGAGAGUAAUUUGUCCGACUCUUCCACUUCAUAUCUCUAGCUCUGUUUUCCUUUGAUCCUCUUCAUCAAUCAAUGGCUCUCUUUAUUUUUUUUCUUAAUGUUUCGUUUUACUUCGAAGCAAACUCGAAAAGUCUCCAUUGAAGAAUCUGAAGCUAUGGAGAUGACGCUGAGUAGGGUUAUGAGAGGUGAUGAAACGAACAGGGCUAUUGUCCAUGAAGAAGUAUGUCUAUUUUGACAACUCGAUUUUGUCAUGAUUGGGACCAUGCUGAUGCAACUAUCUCAUUGUGGAAUGGUGGAAACUGCACGAAAGUGUACAUGGGACAUGUGCUGCAAAUAAUAGAGAAGGAUGAAGAUAGUGGACACGUAAAGCCAUCGGACGAACUUUCUCCAGCAAGAAGAUAUAUAUUGAAGAAAGUGAUUUUGGGUUAUUACAAGUCCUUCGAACUUUAAGGAGAUUGAAAGGGAACUCACUAGGAGAAGAUGACAUUUGAGACAAAGCUUACCAUUAGUUCUGCUGUAUCCAGAAUGGUGACUACAAUGAAUAUGCAGAGACUGGCUCAAGCGAAUACAGAAUCUUAUGAUACGUUUGGCGAUGACAAAAAUACUACUGAAUCUGAAGCCGUCCAAUCUGAUUGAAAAAUCUUCAGGGUACGUUUAUGAAGGUGGAUUAACACCACCUGUCGAUGCUCUCUUCCAGUUGAAAAAUCUUCGAGAAUCCUGAGACGAUGAAGACCAUAGUUGGACUUGGGUCUAUAUUACACACUUUUGCAGAGGAUGAGUGAGUCAGGAACAAGUUAAGGGUGCAAUCGAUUUUGUAGGAGUGAUAAUAGCACCUUACGUCAACGAUAAGUCUCCUCUCUCAAACAAAAUUUCCAUGAUUAAUUCACCAUUGUUGAAAUGGCUGUGGAACUGAUCCAUAAUUUAUACGAUUCUGUGGCAUUAAAGCUAUAGAUGUGGCUCACUGAUUGCUUCUGUUUGCCUUGCAGCGUUUGGAAACACAAAGUUCAAGAAUAAGUAUAUAAAUACACCGUGCAAAUUGAAAGGCAGAGCUGUGCAAGUACAUCUGUAUACCAAAGAAAACGGCGGUCAGACGACUCCUCAAAGCUCAUCACUUGAGGACAUGCAGAGAAUUAAGUAUCUGAGCUCACACAUUGAAGCAAUGCUUCAUUCCUCAGGUAACUUCCACAAUAGCAAGGGCUCUUAAGAUUCAAUAUCCCACAGCAGGAAAGGUUCGAACGGCAAAGGGUAUUCUCAGUGGUCGUUGAUGGAUUGUGAGCUCUUCAAGGAUCCUUAUCUUAGUUUUUUUUUUAAACCAAACCGUUUUAUAUUGUCACACAAAUAUAUAAAGUAAAUUAAUUUUCCGAA